GCGGACGUGGCGGAAUUUGGCAGACGCGCCGGGUUUAGGUCCCGGUGCCGCAAGGCGUGUGGGUUCAAAUCCCACCGUCCGCA
rnacentral:tRNA from 1 species